rnacentral:rRNA from 1 species
UACGUAGGGUCCGAGCGUUGUCCGGAAUUACUGGGCGUAAAGAGCUCGUAGGUGGUUUGUCGCGUUGUUCGUGAAAACUCACAGCUCAACUCCGAGCUUGCAGUCGAUACGGGCAGGCUAGAGUUCGGCAGGGGAGACUGGAAUUCCUGGUGUAGCGGUGAAAUGCGCAGAUAUCAGGAGGAACACCGGUGGCGAAGGCGGGUCUCUGGGCCGAUACUGACGCUGAGGAGCGAAAGCGUGGGGAGCGAACAGG